CCCGCACAAGCGGUGGAGCAUGUGGUUUAAUUCGAAGCAACGCGAAGAACCUUACCAGGUCUUGACAUCCCCUGACAACCCAAGAGAUUGGGCGUUCCCCUUCGGGGGACAGGGUGACAGGUGGUGCAUGGUUGUCGUCAGCUCGUGUCGUGAGAUGUUGGGUUAAGUCCCGCAACGAGCGCAGCCCUCGACCUUAGUUGCCAGCAUUCAGUUGGGCACUCUAAGGUGACUGCCGGCUAAAAGUCGGAGGAAGGUGGGGAUGACGUCAAAUCAUCAUGCCCCUUAUGACCUGGGCUACACACGUGCUACAAUGGGCGGUACAAAGGGUCGCGAACCCGCGAGGGGGAGCCAAUCCCAAAAAGCCGCUCUCAGUUCGGAUUGCAGGCUGCAAUUCGCCUGCAUGAAGUCGGAAUCGCUAGUAAUCGCAGGUCAGCAUACUGCGGUCGAAUACGUUCCCGGGCCUU
rnacentral:rRNA from 1 species